UUGGAGUGGCUGGCUGGACUUUCCGGCCCACGCGCCGCUUGCGGGAUUUGUGGGCUGCUUGGCUUUUUUGUGUGUUUUGUUUUGUUUAGCUUUUUUAAACCUCCUUGGCUUUGGUCAGUUAGUGUCUGAAUACCCUCACCUCGGGAGGGAGAUUCGGAGACGCCGCCUAAGGUCACAGCACUCUUUAGCCAACGGAGCCACCUCAGACUCCAGCCCUCCCCCUGGCACGUUCAAGAUGUGAGUCAAAAACACAACAGAACAAAAGAUGAGAGCCCUUGGCUCAGCUCCCUGACCCUGCUACUAUUUCCUUGCUCCACCAUCAUGAACUCUAACCCUCUGGAAUCAUAAGCCCAAAUAAAUUUUUUCUCCUGACAACUUGUGGCAAUUGAUUCUUUCCUUCCGCGGAUGGAUCCUUGGAAAUGAACUCAGCAGGCAGCACACACCUUUACCCAGUAAGCCGUUUCAA